rnacentral:rRNA from 1 species
UACGAGGGGGGCGAGCGUUGUCCGGAUUUAUUGGGCGUAAAGAGCUCGUAGGCGGUGUGUCGCGUCGGCCGUGAAAACCUGCAGCUUAACUGUGGGCUUGCGGUCGAUACGGGCAGGCUGGAGUUCGGUAGGGGAGACUGGAAUUCCUGGUGUAGCGGUGAAAUGCGCAGAUAUCAGGAGGAACACCGGUGGCGAAGGCGGGUCUCUGGGCCGAUACUGACGCUGAGGAGCGAAAGCGUGGGGAGCGAACAGG